GCUUACGGCCAUACCAGCCUGAAAGCGCCCGAUCUCGUCAGAUCUCGGAAGCUACGCAAGGUCGGGCCUGGUUAGUACUUGGAUGGGAGUCUUCCUGGGAAUACCAGGUGCUGUAAGCA
rnacentral:rRNA from 1 species